GUCAAUGUGGUGUAGUGGUUUAGGGCACUGGACUAUGACUCAAGACCAGAGUUUGAAUCCCCGCUCAGCCA